AUACGUAGGGAGCGAGCGUUGUCCGGAAUUACUGGGUGUAAAGGGAGCAUAGGCGGGACUGCAAGGCAGAUGUGAAAUACCGGGGCUUAACCCCGGAGCUGCAUUUUAAACUGUGGUUUUUGAGUGUAGUAGAGGCAAGCCGGAUUCCUGGUGUAGCGGUGAAAUGCGUAGAUAUCAGGAGGAACACCGGUGGCGAAGGCGGCUUGCUGGGCUUUUACUGAAGCUGAGGCUCGAAAGCGUGGGUAGCAAACAGGAUUAGAUACCCUGGUAGUCCACGCCGUAAACGAUGAUUACUAGGUGUGGGGGGACUGACCCCUUCCGUGCCGCAGUUAACACAAUAAGUAAUCCACCUGGGGAGUACGGCCGCAAGGUUGAAACUCAAAUGAAUUGACGGGG
rnacentral:rRNA from 1 species